rnacentral:rRNA from 1 species
UCGAGCGCGAGCGUAAGGAGCUUGCUCCUUACAAUCGAGCGGCGGACGGGUGAGUAACACGUGGGCAACCUACCCUUUAGACUGGGAUAACUACCGGAAACGGUAGCUAAUACCGGAUAAGUUGGAUUACACAAGUAAUCUUAAUGAAAGGCGGAUUUAUCUGUCACUAAAGGAUGGGCCUGCGGUGCAUUAGCUAGUUGGUGAGGUAGUGGCUCACCAAGGCAACGAUGCAUAGCCGACCUGAGAGGGUGAUCGGCCACACUGGGACUGAGACACGGCCCAGACUCCUACGGGAGGCAGCAGUAGGGAAUCUUCCGCAAUGGACGCAAGUCUGACGGAGCAACGCCGCGUGAGUGAAGAAGGGUUUCGGAUCGUAAAACUCUGUUGUUAAGGAAGAACACUUUAGGUAGUAACUGUGCACAUCUUGACGGUACUUAACCAGAAAGCCACGGCUAACUACGUGCCAGCAGCCGCGGUAAUACGUAGGUGGCAAGCGUUAUCCGGAAUUAUUGGGCGUAAAGCGCGCGUAGGCGGUUUUUUAAGUCUGAUGUGAAAGCCCCCGGCUCAACCGGGGAGGGUCAUUGGAAACUGGAAAACUUGAGUGCAGAAGAGGAAAGUGGAAUUCCAUGUGUAGCGGUGAAAUGCGCAGAGAUAUGGAGGAACACCAGUGGCGAAGGCGACUUUCUGGUCUGUAACUGACGCUGAUGUGCGAAAGCGUGGGGAUCAAACAGGAUUAGAUACCCUGGUAGUCCACGCCGUAAACGAUGAGUGCUAAGUGUUAGGGGGUUUCCGCCCCUUAGUGCUGCAGCUAACGCAUUAAGCACUCCGCCUGGGGAGUACGACCGC